rnacentral:rRNA from 1 species
GUGAGGAAUAUUGCGCAAUGGAGGCAACUCUGACGCAGCCAUGCCGCGUGCAGGAAGAAGGCGCUACGCGUUGUAAACUGCUUUUAACCGGGAAGAAACCCCAGGACGUGUCCUGGGUUGACGGUACCGGAGGAAUAAGCACCGGCUAACUUCGUGCCAGCAGCCGCGGUAAUACGAAGGGUGCAAGCGUUAUCCGGAUGCAUUGGGUUUAAAGGGUGCGUAGGCGGAGCGUUAAGUCAGUGGUGAAAUCCUGCAGCUUAACUGUAGACUUGCCAUUGAUACUGGCGCUCUUGAGUGCGCUUGAAGUGGGCGGAAUGUGCCGUGUAGCGGUGAAAUGCUUAGAUAUGGCACAGAACACCAAUUGCGAAGGCAGCUCACUAAGGCGAUACUGACGCUGAGGCACGAAAGCGUGGGGAUCGAACAGGAUUAGAUACCCUGGUAGUCC